rnacentral:rRNA from 1 species
UACAGAGGUGGCAAGCGUUGUUCGGAAUUACUGGGCGUAAAGGGAGCGCAGGCGGCUAAACCAGUCUGAAGUGCAAGCCCGGGGCUCAACCCCGGAAUCGCUUUGGAUACUGUUUGGCUUGAGUAUGUCAGAGGUGAGCGGAAUUCCAGGUGUAGCGGUGAAAUGCGUAGAUAUCUGGAGGAACAUCCGUGGCGAAGGCGGCUCACUGGGACAACACUGACGCUGAGGCUCGAAAGCGUGGGGAGCGAACGGG